rnacentral:rRNA from 1 species
CCUACGGGUUGCAGCAGUGGGGAAUAUUGCACAAUGGGCGCAAGCCUGAUGCAGCCAUGCCGCGUGUACGAAGAAGGCCUUCGGGUUGUAAAGUACUUUCAGCGAGGAGGAAGGCAUUAAGGUUAAUAACCUUGGUGAUUGACGUUACUCGCAGAAGAAGCACCGGCUAACUCCGUGCCAGCAGCCGCGGUAAUAUGGAGGGUGCAAGCAUUAAUCGGAAUUACUGGGCGUAAAGCGCACGCAGGCGGUUUGUUAAGUCGGAUGUGAAAUCCCCGGGCUCAACCUGGGAACUGCAUUCGAAACUGGCAAGCUUGAGUCUUGUAGAGGGGGGUAGAAUUCCAGGUGUAGCGGUGAAAUGCGUAGAGAUCUGGAGGAAUACCGGUGGCGAAGGCGGCCCCCUGGGCAAAGACUGACGCUCAGGUGCGAAAGCGUGGGGAGCAAACAGGAUUAGAUACCCGUGUAGUC